GUAUGCUUUAGGAGGGGCUUGCGCCAUAUUAGUUAGUUGGUAGGGUAAUGGCCUACCAAUACGAUGGUGUGUAGCUGGACUGAGAGGUUGAACAGCCACAUUGGGACUGAGACACGGCCCAAACUCCUACGGGAGGCAUCAGUAGGGAAUUUUCGGCAAUGGAGGAAACUCUGACCGAGCAACGCCGCGUGAAUGACGAAGUACUUCUGUAUGUAAAGUUCUUUUAUCAAGGAAGAAAAGCAAAUGGCCAACCAUUUGUUUGCCGGUACUUGAUGAAUAAGCCCCGGCUAAUUAUGUGCCAGCAGCCGCGGUAAUACAUAAGGGGCAAGUGUUAUCCGGAAUUAUUGGGCGUUAAGGGUGCGUAGGCGGUCUAGUAAGUCAGUGGUGUAAUGGCAACGCUUAACGUUGUCCGGCUAUUGAAACUGCUAAACUUGAGUUAUAUAGAGGCGAGUGGAAUUCCAUGUGUAGCGGUAAAAUGCGUAAAUAUAUGGAGGAACACCAGAGGCGUAGGCGGCUCGCUGGGUCUUAACUGACGCUGAGGCACCAAAGCGUGGGGAGCAAACAGGAUUAGAUACCCUGGUAGUCCACGCCGUAAACGAUGAGUACUAAGUGUCGGGUUAAACCGGUACUGAAGUUAACACAUUUAAGUACUCCGCCUGAUUAGUACGUACGCAAGUAUGAUACUUAUAGGAAUUGACGGGACUCCGCACAAGCGGUGGAUCAUGUUGUUUAAUUCGAAGAUACCCGAAAAACCUUACCAGGUCUUGACAUGUUUUGCAAAAUGAUAGUAAUAUCGUGGAGGUUACCAGAAACACAGGUGGUGCAUGGUUGUCGUCAGCUCGUGUCGUGAGAUGUUAGGUUAAGUCUAAAACGAGCGAAACCCUUUAUCGUUAGUUGCCAGCACGUUAUGGUGGGGACUUUAACGAGACUGCCAAUGAUAAAUUGGAGGAAGGUGAGGAUCACGUCAAAUCAGCAUGCCCCUUAUGACCUGGGCUACAAACGUGAUACAAUGGCUGUUACAAAGGGUAGCUGAAACGCAAGUUCUUGGCCAAUCCCCAAAAACAGUCCCAGUCCGGAUUGAAGUCUGCAACUCGACUUCAUGAAGUUGGAAUCGCUAGUAAUCGCGAAUCAGCAUGUCGCGGUGAAUACGUUCUCGGGGUUUGUACACACCGCCCGUCAAACCACGAAAGUUGGCAAUACCCCAAAACGGUAGCCUAACUCGUUUAUUCGAGAGGGCGCCGUCUAAGGUAGGGUCGAUGAUUGGGGUUAAGUCGUAACAAGGUAUCCCUACCGGAAGGUGGGGAUGGAUCACCUCCUUUCUAAGGA
rnacentral:rRNA from 1 species